GAUCCUGGCUCAGGAUGAACGCUAGCUACAGGCUUAACACAUGCAAGUCGAGGGGCAGCAUUGGGGUAGCAAUACUCAGAUGGCGACCGGCGCACGGGUGAGUAACACGUAUCCAACCUGCCGCUUACUCGGGGAUAGCCUUUCGAAAGAAAGAUUAAUACCCGAUGGUAUAAAGAGUUCGCAUGUUCUCUUUAUUAAAGAAUUUCGGUAAGCGAUGGGGAUGCGUUCCAUUAGAUAGUUGGCGGGGUAACGGCCCACCAAGUCUACGAUGGAUAGGGGUUCUGAGAGGAAGGUCCCCCACAUUGGAACUGAGACACGGUCCAAACUCCUACGGGAGGCAGCAGUGAGGAAUAUUGGUCAAUGGACGAGAGUCUGAACCAGCCAAAAGUAGCGUGAAGGAUGACUGCCCUAUGGGUUGUAAACUUCUUUUAUAAGGGAAUAAAGUGAGGGACGUGUCCCUUUUUGUAUGUACCUUAUGAAUAAGGAUCGGCUAACUCCGUGCCAGCCGCGGC
rnacentral:rRNA from 1 species